AGCCCGGUUGGGGCAAAAAAACAACGAAAAAGGGUUUGGGGAAGGCGGCGGGGAGGCGAUUUUCCCCCACCCGGGAAGGGUGGGGGGGGGGAGGGCUCGUUGUCAGAGCCCGGCGACAGCGGCGACAAAAUGGCAGCGCGGCGGCCGCCCGUCAUGUCGGAGCCGCCGCCCGGCCGCCCCCCGCCGCCCCCCGGGCGCUGAAGGGGAGAAGCCCGGCCCCGCUCCGCCGCCGCCCGGCCCGGCCUCGCUGCCUCCUUCUUCUUCUUCCUCCUCCCUCCUCCUCCUCAGCGGUUCGGGAGGGGAGGACACAACAUGGCGCCGCGUCCUACUUGCGCUGCGCCGUGGCGCUGCCGAUGCCAGGAGCGGCUGAGCCGGGCUAAGGGGGGGGCUCCGGGGGGCGAGCUCCCGGUCCCGGCCCGCUUGAGGCGGCGGAGGGGAGGCGGCUCCCCCCGGGAACCCCCCAACAACGAGCCCUGAGGGCCGGGCAGGGCCGCGCCUCGCCGGGGCCGGCGGCGUGUGCCGCUACGGCGGGCGGGCGGGCGCCCUCCUCCUUCCUCCUCUUUCCUCCUCCUCCUCCUCCUGCUGCUGCUGCCGCCGCCGCUCGCCCAGGACUUUUUUUAAAGUUUAAAGAGCAGGUUACAUAAAAUCUGCCCGCCUUUGUGUCCCCCCCCCCCCCCUUCAGACGUCGCGCUGGCCACCGAAAAGCCGCGGGGCCGCGUUCCAGCCGCCUGCCUCCGCCCUCCCCCGGGCGCCUCCCGGAGAGCAUCUGGAGAGAGGGAGAGAGAGAGAGAGAGAGAGAAAGGGCGCGUUCAUGAGGACUACAAAGUUACAAAUAUGGCUCCCCAGUCUCUCCUGCCUGAUCACUGCACAGAAACGAAGACGCACUUUAAACUCAAAACCAUUCGCAACUCACUCGCAGCCCCUGCCUGCUCUCCCUGCCCAGCACCCAGUCCAAAUAUUUGCGAACUAAACACGCCGGAGAGGAGCACCAACUUAUUUUUAUUUCAUGCAACCGCCGGCCCCCCUUUCAAUGCGUCUCACGCCGGCGGGGCCGGGAGCAGCCCCGGGGGUCCCCGGGGGUCCCCUCCCCGGCCCUAUAGGGCACAAGGGGGGCUCCCCCCCGAGCCCCCCGAGCCGGGCACCGGGCACGGCCACGCACAGGUAGGCACCUCAAGGGCAGCAGCGAGCAGCAGCAGCGGCCCUGCCGCCUCCCCCGCCGCCCCCUCCCCAACCGCGCCGCACGUUUUCGACACGUUUGAACCCAAAAAAAAAAAAAAAUCAUCAUUAAAUAAAA